UACGUAGGGGGCAAGCGUUAUCCGGAUUUACUGGGUGUAAAGGGAGCGCAGACGGCAGUGCAAGUCUGGAGUGAAAGCCCGGGGCUCAACUCCGGGACUGCUUUUGAAACUGUGUGACUGGAGUGCAGGAGAGGUAAGCGGAAUUCCUAGUGUAGCGGUGAAAUGCGUAGAUAUUAGGAGGAACACCAGCGGCGAAGGCGGCUUACUGGACCGUGACUGACGUUGAGGCUCGAAAGCGUGGGGAGCAAACAGG
rnacentral:rRNA from 1 species